rnacentral:tRNA from 1 species
CGGGGUAUAGCACAGUUUGGUAGUGUACAUCUUGGGGUGAUGGAAGUCGUGGGUUCGAGUCCCGCUACUCCGA